rnacentral:rRNA from 1 species
GCUCUGAAUAUCUAUGGCUAGAUAAAGUACAAAUCGUAACAAGGUUUCAGUUGGAGAACCAGCUGAAGGAUCAUUU